AAUAUUGCACAAUGGGCGAAAGCCUGAUGCAGCAACGCCGCGUGAGCGAUGAAGGCUUCCGGGUCGUAAAGCUCUGUUCUACGGGAAGAUAAUGACGGUCCCUUAGGAGGAAGACCCUGCUAACUACGUGCUAGCCGCCGCGGUAAUACGUUGGGGGCAAGCGUUAUCCGGAUUCAUUGGGCGUAAAGGGUGCGUAGGCGGCCCUAUAGGUCAGAGGUCAAAGGCUACGGCUCAACCGUAGUAAGCCUUUGAAACUGUAGGGCUUGAGUGCAGGAGAGGAGAGUGGAAUUCCUAGUGUAGCGGUGAAAUGCGUAGAUAUUAGGAGGAACACCAGUGGCGAAGGCGACUCUCUGGACUGCAACUGACGCUGAGGCACGAAAGCGUGGGGAGCGAACAGG
rnacentral:rRNA from 1 species